AUUGAACGCUGGCGGCAGGCCUAACACAUGCAAGUCGAACGAGUGGCGGACGGGUGAGUAAUGUCUGGGAAAGUGCAUGAUGGAGGGGGAUAACUACUGGACACGGUAGCUAAUAGCGCAUACCAUCAGAUGUGGCCAGAUGGGAUUAGCUUGUUGGCGGGGUAACGGCUCACCAAGGCGACGAUCCGUAACUGGUCUGAGAGGAUGAUCAGUCACACUGGAACUGAGACACGGUCCAGACUCCUACGGGAGGCAGCAGUGGGGAAUAUUGGACAAUGGGUGAAAGCCGGAUCCAGCCAGGCCGCGUGUGUGAAGAAGGUCUUCGGAUUGUAAAGCACUUUAAGUUGGGAGGCGUUACCAAAAGAAUAAGCACCGGCUAACUUCGUGACAGCAGCCGCGGUAAUAC
rnacentral:rRNA from 1 species